rnacentral:lncRNA from 1 species
AGAUCAUCUCCACUCAAGGCAGUGAAAUGUCAUUGAAUAGCCAAAAAAGUUCUAAUAACUUGACUACUGAGUUAGUGAGUGAGUGAGUGUGUGUGUGUGUGUGUGUGUGUGUAUAACAGCAGUUGCAAACUCAGUACCUACAAGGUCCAGACAAUAUAAUGCACAAAAUAAUGGACAAUAUAAUGGACAAUAAAAUUAUGAGGUCCAGGUAAUAUAAUGAGGGAAGUAGCCUGAAUGCAUACUAUGAUGAGACAGAAAGUUCUAGAAUGACACAGUGGGCAGUCAUUUUUCAGCAGAGUUUUUGCAUGGUGGAAAUGUGAGCCUAAUAUCAGACUGAUUUUCUAGAGAUGUUGGAAAUGCAGAUUUUUAAAAAAUAAGAUGAAAAUCUCCUUACUUUUAAAUGUUGGCAACUAAUCCUAAUAAAAAUAAUACUUCAGGUCAAACAAGACACAUCUGUGAACUCUGUGCAGGCUUAGGAGCUGGCAGUUAUGGACCUCUGAUGUACAUGACGUGAGAAGAGGGAACACCAAGUUCUUAUUUGUCCAGCUGGCUCGAAGCUGUUAGGAUGAGCCCUGCAGCUGGAUGAAGCAACUUGUUAAUUAUGGGUUGCCAAACAGUGCUAGACUCUAGGUCAGUCUGGAACAUCCAGGUUCUAAUCAGAAACUCGGGAGCAAAUUCAACUUGGAGAUGAACAGACGUAUUAUCAGUGACUGCUGUUUGGGCUGCUGUUCAAUUUUGGAAAAUUCCUGAACCCUUGAUUGACUUCUACCGAAAACCAGAGCUGAGUUUCUCCCCCAGAAACGGUCCCGGAACUGUGUGAGCACAGAUAUGUCUGGGAGCUACUGGCUUCCAGCAGGUAAUAUUUGCACUCAUCAGACUUGCGGAAUGUACCAACAUUCUGUGCUGUUUGAACCAGGAUCACUGCCAGGAAAAUGCAACACACAAAAAUUGUUCCAGUUACGAAGGGACAAAGUUCAUUAGCAUCUGGAACUGAAGCUUUACAGACAGUGGCCGAUAUAGCAUUGUAACUUUCCUCCCUUUUUUAAAUUGCCAUUGGACUUAUAAUUAAUAAUAAAGCUUGACUUUUGUUCUUCUGUUUUCA